rnacentral:rRNA from 1 species
AUGAACGCUGACAGAAUGCUUAACACAUGCAAGUCAACUUGAACUUCGGUUUGGGUGGCGGCCGGGUGAGUAACGCGUAAAGAACUUGCCUCACAGAUAGGGACAACAUUUGGAAACGAAUGCUAAUACCUGAUAUUAUGAUUAUAUGGCAUCGUAUAAUUAUGAAAGCUAUAUGCGCUGUGAGAGAGCUUUGCGUCCCAUUAGCUAGUUGGAGAGGUAACGGCUCACCAAGGCGAUGAUGGGUAGCCGGCCUGAGAGGGUGAUCGGCCACAAGGGGACUGAGACACGGCCCUUACUCCUACGGGAGGCAGCAGUGGGGAAUAUUGGACAAUGGACCAAGAGUCUGACCCAGCAAUUCUGUGUGCACGAUGAAGUUUUUCGGAAUGUAAAGUGCUUUCAGUUGGGAAGAAAAAAAUGACGGUACCAACAGAAGAAGUGACGGCUAAAUACGUG